rnacentral:rRNA from 1 species
GACGAACCGUGCGAACGUUAUUCGGAAUCACUGGGCUUAAAGGGCGCGUAGGCGGGCGACCAAGUCAGGGGUGAAAUCGUUCGGCCCAACCGGACAAGGGCCCCUGAUACUGGUUGUCUCGAGGGAGGUAGGGGUCGAUGGAACUUCCGGUGGAGCGGUGAAAUGCGUAGAUAUCGGAAGGAACGCCGGUGGCGAAAGCGAUCGACUGGACCUCUUCUGACGCUGAGGUGCGAAAGCGUGGGGAGCAAACAGG